GCACCUGGCUGGCUUGCCGCCCACACAACCAAAUUAAAAAAUAACACAGAAGGGUAAGGUAAGUCUCCAUUAAACCCAGGAAAGAGACUGGAAAACUCCUCUUUGGAUCCUGUCUAUAGUCACAGGU
ensembl:snoRNA